rnacentral:rRNA from 1 species
CCUAUAGAAUAUAUUUAAUGCAUUGGAUCCCAUUAUAACUCCGCAGUUAAGCAUGCUCAGGCUAGUGUAAUCUUGGGAUGGGUGAUCGCUCGAUAAGUCCUGGUGUUUUACAUGC